rnacentral:rRNA from 1 species
UCCGUAGGGUGCAAUCGUUGUCCGGAAUUAUUGGGCGUAAAGAGCUCGUAGGCGGUUUGUCGCGUCUGCUGUGAAAGUUCGGGGCUCAACCCCGGAACUGCAGUGGGUACGGGCAGACUAGAGUGCGGUAGAGGAGACUGGAAUUCCUGGUGUAGCGGUGGAAUGCGCAGAUAUCAGGAGGAACACCAGUGGCGAAGGCGGGUCUCUGGGCCGCAACUGACGCUGAGGAGCGAAAGCGUGGGGAGAGAACAGG